ensembl:lncRNA
AAAAAGUCGAUCCCUCCAUUAAAUCCCAACCAGGUCGGUAUUCUUUUAAGACUAAGGUUUGGCGCCUGAUCAACAGACUCUCAGAGAACUCUUCUGGGCCCUUUUGCGCACAGCAGUUUUGAAUCAUAGCCUCGGGCCUUCUUGCUCAGGUUGGGGGAGAUAAUAAUUCAAACAACUUCAGAUGAGCCCCGAGGGAUAGCAACAUGAAGUCUCCACAAAGUGCCUCCCAACCUGACACAACUCCUACGUUCUCUCACAUGGAAGAGUAAGAUGAAAGUCAACAAGGAGUCUUAUUUGAAGCAGCUCCUUCUCCCACAGCUGCCCAUACCUUCCCUGCAUUCCCUCUGCAUUCAGCAGCUACUGACUUGGAAUUCUCAAAACAGUGUUCAUACUUCUGCUCCAGCCUCAGCUGCACUGGGAUUUCAGUCUAAAUGAGCUGAGAAAAAGGUUCCAAACAGCGAGCUCGGAAGCCUAAAACUCAGGAAAAAGCCCUUCCGUGGCUCCAUCCAGCUGAGCAAACCCUGAAAGCCAACAUGAUUGAUGCUCCAGCAUGGGCAAGGAAGAGCCCCAACUCCCCUUCAGAGACCCUUGCUUGCUUUACUCUGUGUGAUUUCAUGCAUAGGACAGGGAUCUUGAAGGCCUUGAAAGUAAAAUAAACAAAAA